rnacentral:rRNA from 1 species
AGGGUUUGAUCCUGGCUCAGGAUAAACGUUUGCGGUGCGCCUUAUGCAUGCAAGUUGUACGGGGUUAUGGUCUUCGGACUGUAAUCUAGUGGCGAACGGCUGAGUAACACAUAAGUAACCUACCUUCAAGUGGGGGAUAACCUGCCGAAAGACAGGCUAAUACCGCAUAUGAUAAUCAAGGAUUGCUUGGUUAUUAAAGCCCUAGGGUGCUUGAAGAGGGACUUGUGUCUGAUUAGCUAGUUGGUAGGGUAACGGCUUACCAAGGCGAUGAUCAGUAGCUGGUCUGAGAGGAUGUCCAGCCAGAUGGGGAUUGAGAUACGGCCCCAACUCCUAUGGGAGGCAGCAGCAAGGAAUAUUGGGCAAUGGGCGAAAGCCUGACCCAGCGACACCGUGUGAGGGAAGAAGGCCUUCGGGUUGUAAACCUCUUUUCUCGAGGAAGAAUUUUGACGGUACUCGAGGAAUAAGUCUCGGCUAACUACGUGCCAGCAGCCGCGGUAAUACGUAGGAGGCGAACGUUAUCCGGAUUUACUGGGCGUAAAGAGAGCGUAGGUGGUUCCUUAAGUCAGGUGUGAAAUCUUCUGGCUCAACCAGGAGAAGUCAUCUGAUACUGUGGAGCUUGAGGGCAGCAGAAGGAAAUGGAAUUCCCAGUGUAGCGGUGAAAUGCGUUGAUAUUGGGAAGAACACCAGUGGCGAAGGCGAUUUCCUAGGUUGUUCCUGACACUGAGGCUCGAAAGCGUGGGGAGCGAAGCGGAUUAGAUACCCGCAUAGUCCACGCCGUAAACGGUGGACACUAGAUAUGGGAAGUAUCGACCCUUUCCGUGUCGAAGCUAACGCUUUAAGUGUCCCGCCUGGGGAGUACGGCCGCAAGGCUAAAACUCAAAGGAAUUGACGGGGGCCCGCA